CCCGCCUUUCUUAAAAAGUGGGAUAACAUUAACUACCCUCCAAUGCACAGGAACUGAUCCUGAAUCUAUAGAACAUUGAAAAAUGAUCACCAAUGCAUCUACAAUUUCUAGAGCAUCUUCCUAAAGUACCCUGGGAUGAAGACCAUCAGGCCCAGAGGAUUUAUCAGCCUUCAGUCCCAUCAGUCUACCCAACACCAUUUCCUGCCUAAUGUGGAUUUCCUUCACUCUGGCCGUUUGUACAUUC